rnacentral:rRNA from 1 species
GAUGAACGCUGGCGGCGUGCCUAAUACAUGCAAGUCGAGCGAACAGACGAGGAGCUUGCUCCUCUGACGUUAGCGGCGGACGGGUGAGUAACACGUGGAUAACCUACCUAUAAGACUGGGAUAACUUCGGGAAACCGGAGCUAAUACCGGAUAAUAUAUUGAACCGCAUGGUUCAAUAGUGAAAGACGGUUUUGCUGUCACUUAUAGAUGGAUCCGCGCCGCAUUAGCUAGUUGGUAAGGUAACGGCUUACCAAGGCAACGAUGCGUAGCCGACCUGAGAGGGUGAAGGGACACACUGGAACUGAGACACGGCCCAGACUCCUAGGGGAGGCAGAAGGGGGGAAUUUUCGACAAGGGGCGAAAGCGUGACGGAGCCACGCCGCGUGAGGGAAGAAGGUCUGCGGCUCUAAAAACUCUUUUAUGAGGAAAAAAAAAAUGUGUAAGAAAAAAUGCAGGUCUGGACGGUACCUAAACAAAAAGCCCCGGCUAACUACGGG